AGCGAACUGAUUAGAAGCUUGCUUCUAUGACGUUAGCGGCGGACGGGUGAGUAACACGUGGGCAACCUGCCUGUAAGACUGGGAUAACUUCGGGAAACCGAAGCUAAUACCGGAUAGGAUCUUCUCCUUCAUGGGAGAUGAUUGAAAGAUGGUUUCGGCUAUCACUUACAGAUGGGCCCGCGGUGCAUUAGCUAGUUGGUGAGGUAACGGCUCACCAAGGCAACGAUGCAUAGCCGACCUGAGAGGGUGAUCGGCCACACUGGGACUGAGACACGGCCCAGACUCCUACGGGAGGCAGCAGUAGGGAAUCUUCCGCAAUGGACGAAAGUCUGACGGAGCAACGCCGCGUGAGUGAUGAAGGCUUUCGGGUCGUAAAACUCUGUUGUUAGGGAAGAACAAGUACGAGAGUAACUGCUCGUACCUUGACGGUACCUAACCAGAAAGCCACGGCUAACUACGUGCCAGCAGCCGCGGUAAUACGUAGGUGGCAAGCGUUAUCCGGAAUUAUUGGGCGUAAAGCGCGCGCAGGCGGUUUCUUAAGUCUGAUGUGAAAGCCCACGGCUCAACCGUGGAGGGUCAUUGGAAACUGGGGAACUUGAGUGCAGAAGAGAAAAGCGGAAUUCCACGUGUAGCGGUGAAAUGCGUAGAGAUGUGGAGGAACACCAGUGGCGAAGGUGNNUUNUUGGUCUGUAACUGACGCUCAGGCGCGAAAGCGUGGNGAGCANACAGGAUCANNUACGCUGAUAGUCCACACUGUAAACGAUGAGUGCUAAGAGU
rnacentral:rRNA from 1 species